rnacentral:rRNA from 1 species
AUUGAACGCUGGCGGCAGGCCUAACACAUGCAAGUCGAACGAGUGGCGGACGGGUGAGUAAUGUCUGGGAAACUGCCUGAUGGAGGGAGAUCACUACUGGAAACGGUAGCUUAUACCGCAUACCCUCGUAUGUGCCCAGAUGGGAUUCGCUUGUUGGAGGGGUAACGGCUCACCAAGGCGACGAUCCCUAGCUGGUCUGAGAGGAUUACCAGCCACACUGGAACUGAGACACGGUCCAGACUCCUACGGGAGGCAGCAGUGGGGAAUAUUGGACAAUGGGCGAAAGCCUGAUCCAGCCAUGCCGCGUGUGUGAAGAAGGUCUUCGGAUUGUAAAGUACUUUAAGUUGGGAGGCGUUACCAACAGAAUAAGCACCGGCUAACUCCGUGCCAGCAGCCGCGGUAAUUC